GGAUCCUAAGAUACUCCAGCAGCGCCUCCGGAUCCGUCUUCCUGGACGUCGGAAAGGAAAAGCAGUGGCCAUCUUGGCAUGUCUGUUUUGAGUUGAAGUACCGUGCCAUAGGUUUGAGACCCGCCCUCCACCCUUCCCAAAUUCCUCCGUUUAUGUUUGUAAAAUCGACACUUUCAGGACUCAUUCCUUUGUGUGGGAUCCGCACGCUCAGUUCAGAGCUGGUUCUACGACAGAUGUGUGGAUUAGCUCACUACUCCUGUAUUUUUAUUCCUAAAGUACAUAGAAUUCAGGCCAGGAAGUCACCGGGUGGAGGGGAGGGGUGACUCUCGGCUCUCUCCCAGAGCACACUCACUGUCCGGCCACAGGAUUGCAUUGUGUCAUCUGCCCACGUACCUCCCCUAUUCGGUGUGUAAACACUCCUGCACUUCGGUAACAAAGUGUUCGUCUGACUUCCUUAAAAUGAACUGUCUGUAAAACAGCCCAGUUCCCAUGUCUUUGGCCUGCAUCAAAACUCUAGGGCCCUCGUAUCAUACAACAUUUAUAUAUAAAGCUAAACAUUCGUUUUAACACUGGGACACGAUGCUGUGGAGUCCGGAGGUCUGGAGUCAGAGUCCCUCGACAGCUCUGGCUUUCACAGCAGCCGCUUGCUGUGUCCAUCAAGGCCAGGCACCCAGGAGAGGCGAGCCCCACUUGGGUGGCCGGUGAUGGACGGGUGCGCCAGCCUGCGCUGGGCACUGAGCUAAGUCUCCAGGACACCCCAGCCAUCGCCGGUCCCGGAGCGAUGGAGUGCUGGGUGAGCCGGCCAAGAGAGCCCUGCUUCACCGACUCACGGGGCCAGAAACGCCCGCUGGAGGCUGCAGGAGCGCAGAGCCGCGGGCCCGGGGCUCGCCCCGCCCACGGCUGGCCACGCCCACGGCUGGCCACGCCCCCGCAAGCCUCCACAUCCGGCGCGGACCGGCUGUUCCGAGCCCGGGCCACCAUGGCGCUGUGCGAGCGGGCGGUCAGCGGGAGCUCUCUGAUGUGGCCUCGCGUGUUGCUCUUCGGGGACUCCAUCACGCAGUUUUCUUUCCAGCAGGGUGGAUGGGGCGCAUUGCUGGCCGACCGACUUGUCAGAAAAUGUGACGUUCUGAAUCGUGGAUUUUCAGGGUACAAUACCAGAUGGGCCAAGAUUAUCCUCCCAAGAUUAAUUAGGAAAGGGAGCGGUACGGACAACCCCGUGGCGGUUACAAUUUUCUUCGGUGCCAAUGACUGUUCACUCAAAGAUGAGAACCCCAAGCAGCACGUGCCCUUGGAGGAGUACCGUGCAAACUUGACAGACAUGGUGCAGUACUUGAGGUCUGUGGACAUCCCCGGGGAGCGGAUCAUUCUCAUCACCCCGCCCCCGCUGUGCGAAGCCGCCUGGGAGAAGGAGUGUGUCCUGAAAGGUUGCAAAUUAAAUCGCCUGAACUCAGUUGCCGGUGAAUAUGCGAAUGCAUGUGUAACAGUAGCCAAAGACUGUGGGACUGAUGUCCUUGACCUGUGGACCCUGAUGCAGAAAGACAAGCAGGACUUCUCAUCGUAUUUAUCAGAUGGUCUGCAUUUAUCACCAAUGGGAAACGAGUUUCUGUUCUUAAACCUCUGGCCGCUGCUGGACAAGAAGGUCUCCUCUCUGCCAUGGCUGCUUCCUUACUGGAAGGAUGUAGAGGAAGCAAAGCCUGAGCUGAGUCUGCUGGGAGACGGAGACCAUUAGUCGGCCUGGGAAACCCUCCCAGGAAGGAGUGGUUCAUGGUGCCACUGGCCGUUAUCAAUGCUGGAGUUACAGAACAUACCCUGAGCAGCUUGUUAAGCCUGUACAUGGCAAAAAAAAAAAAAAGGUAAGGACAACUUUGGUUUGUUUAAAAAGUCACAAUUUUAUAAAAAUGCUUUUCUUAUAUUUUGCCAAGAACUUUGAUUCAUACA